UAUCAAAAACCUCUAUCGAUCAUUCAGCGAAUAUUUCUAAAAAUGUAUGCCUGUUCUUUUUUGAAUAAUGGGCUAGCAUGCCCAAAUACAUCUUUCACACAUUUGUAGCCUACUAUGUGUGAGAUAGGUUAAGUGAAAAAUAACCUCAAGGGAUUACGAAAAAUAGUAUUUUAUUGUCAAAAAAUAAAAAUAAAUGAACAAUUUGUUCGUCAUCGAUAAUGACCAGCGUUUCAACAAAAGUUCCAUGAAAUUGAUAACGCUGCCUUUGCUAGAGCCUGUAGAUAAUGACUAUACCAAGCGAUGCUUAACCAGUUUUUUGAUCAAAACAAAAAUACGAUUUUUUGAUAAAAAAAAUAAAAUAAUAAAAUAUUGAAAUGCUUUCUGGCGCUGUAAAAACAAUGCUUAGACAAAGUGCUCUUAUAAGUAACACAGCUCUGAGCUGGAGGAAUCUCUUCUACAGUAAGCUUCUUCUCCCAGAGGUUGGUAAAAACAGUCUGAGGUGCUGUAGUGAGGAGACGUGUAGUCUGCGGCCAUGGUGCCGUCCUGCAGAUUGGGCCAGUGAGACAGGCAAAAACAGUGCUGCAGGGUGCAAUACUGGUAGUGGUAACUUUCUGACGUAAAGCUGGAGCUCAUGUCCAUGCGUGUUGGAGAGUUGUAGCAUGACGAGGAAGAGGAAUGAGACUCGGGCGGAGUGUAGCUGUUAUAAUCGACCAGACUGGGAAGACUGAACGAGUGUGUUGGUGAACUAGAAGCCUGGAAGAAAAGGAAGUGUUACAACGUUAGACGUUAUCUAAACACACAGCAAAAAUCCCCUAAUCCUUAAUGAACACCUUCAGUGCUGGGCUAACAUCCAGAGUGUUAAAAUAAAAUAACACCUACAAUGUUUAAUUGUGUUAACAGUGCUGCAAUAACGAUUAUACUACUGAAUUAUCACCUGCUACAUGGAAUUAGCUAAUUAUUACAUUAUUUUAAUUAGUACACAUGGUGCUGACUAAACAUCUUUAGUAUUGAAUUAACCCUUACAAUGUUGAAUUAACUCCUACAAAAUGUAAUUCAUUUGUAAAGUCCAUGGAUUGACAUUUUAACAAAAUUUUGGAAAGUUGAAUAAGUGUCUACACUAUUCAGUUAUGCUAAUAGUGCUGAAUUAACUCUUCAUGAUGUAUGUACAACUACAAUGUUUAAUUAUCCAAGACAGUCCCAAGCAGAGUGCUGAAUUAAUUCUUACAGUAUUAAUUUUACCUUUAGAGUAUCCAAUGUGUCCAGCUGGACUUAUUUAACUGUAUAGACUAUGUUCAUUGAACACUGAGCUUUUUGGUAGUGAAAAAUCUAAUAUUCUCCAGUCAAGCAAUUUACCUGUAGUUUUUUUGUUGGAGUGUUCCACUUUUAUGUGGAUUUCUGUUCGUAUAUCCUGGUUUAAAAAUAGCAUUAAAAAACUUGAUAAUCAAUUGGAUUGUCAAGUGUAAACCCCUAUAAUUAUAUCUUUUGGAUUGUAUUGAAUUUUAUUCAUACUGUAGAAUACACAUUUUUUUAAAUGCCAAUUCAUGCUGCCUUUAAAAAAAAGUCAAACCGAGGAAGGAGAAAAUUAAACGAAACAUGGUUUUGGUUAGCAGGUGUAAAAGUAAUAAUACAUACUAAGCUGUUAGUGUAAUAUUCCGUGCAUGAAGGGAAGUAUACGUGCGGCCACUGUGCAGGAGCACUCGCACACACCGCAGCGCUGGAGCUGUAGUUCUCUGCAGGGAUCAUGUUCAUCAGCAGCUGAUCAUCAAACAUGUCCUCCAUAGCCAUAUGCACGCUUUCUGCAAACUGUCGAGGUUGAAAAUAAUCAUCCUGCGCCGAGCUCCCGCAGAGAAUAUCGAGCUGGCCUGCUGGAAAAGAUGGAGAGAAAAGUACUAUAUAAGCACAGUGGGGUAUUUAAAUUGGGCAUGUAAAGUCUUGAGAUGAUGUCACGAGUGGAACAGCCAACAGCUAAAUCACAUUUGAAUAGAAGUUUAUAAAAGGAGUCCUUACACAUUUUAAGGAAUCUUGUAUAGCGUAUCGUGUCUUUUUUUUCCCAACUGUUCUGCAUGACGAUCCAAUGGUUUCAUUUUGGAGUUAAUGAGGACUGCCAUCAUUUACCAAAAGACAAAACCGGUCCCAAAGGAUAAAGAAUAAAAUGAGAAGAAAGAAGAACAUUCACUCACCAGACAUUAUUGGCGUGAAGAGGAGCAGGACCCAGUGAAACACCCCAAGCGCCUGUUCUUGGCUCUAUUAUAUGGGCAAGAACGAAAUAUUGAUAAAAUUGUCACAAAGUCUCAAUCAAUCACCCUCACGACACUCUCACUAUAUACAAUUAUGCAGUAAUAUGGCCAGGGAAGCAUUAGUUUGAGUUUUUCUGCCCUCAUCCCUACUAUUUAAAGUCCCAAGAACUCAAUGAUUUGACAAUGAUUUGAUUGCGCGAUACUUUCAAUUUGAAUAUUCAAAGACUUCGCAAAAAUACUUAUAUCUUAGCUAUUUUCGCCAUCAGAGCGCAUGUAAGAGCACCCCCUUUAAUAGAAUAUUACACCAUUUCACACUUUGACACAAAAACAAAAAUAUAUUUUUGACAUUUUAUCACCCUUUUGAUAUUGAUGCCAAGAGGCUGGCUGUGGAGCUCUCUUUGCACUUUACAAUAUGAAAGAGUGAGCAAAUGUCAUUUCAAACAACACACAACAACCUCAAUAUAUAUCAUACAGUUCAUAACCAUAUAAAUAAAUAAGAAAUAAUAUGUUCUGUAGCUUGAUUGUAAACCAUUUUUCCAGAAAUGUAGGAAUGGUGGGCGUGGCAUAUAGUGGCAGCCAUUUUGACCAUCAGAGCAUGGGGAGCUUGUGCUCUCUGACACAUUUAACACAAGUUAACAGUUCUCUAAUGAACAUUGAAUUAAUAUUAUUUUGUAUCAUAUGUAACCUGAAUUUUUAUAUUAAUCAUAUGUAAUCUGCAAUGCUUUAUCGAAGAGUUGCCCUCAAAGUAGGAUAUUUCUUGUAAUUAUCUCAAAUAUUUUAAAAUCACAAUCAAAUGAUGCUGUUGCAAUAUUGACAAUAUUAUAUGACCAAAAAAAAAUACAUUAUUUAUAUUUUACAUACUAGGAAGGAUUUUGUAAAUUAAAGGAAGAGGGCAUUAAUACAAUUAAAUGUGCUCGUAGUUCGUCCUAUUUUAUUAAAAUACUUCUUUGUGUUUUUUUGUUUGUUUGUUUGGUUGUUUUUUUUUUUUUUGCUGAUGAACGUAUAUUAGAGUGUGAUGCUUAUCAUAAGAACCCUAAUAUAUAAUAUUAAUAAUAUCCCAUUAAUGAGCUAUUAAUAAAGGAUUUAUUUCAAUAUAGGACCAAAUUUAACAAACUUCUGCAUCAAACUUAAAUGUCUACAUAGUUUGUUUUUUUGUUUGUUUUUUUAAAAAAAUAUUUAACAUAUUUUCAUUUAAUAUAUGUAUGUAU
ensembl:lncRNA